rnacentral:rRNA from 1 species
GAUGAACGCUAGCGGCAGGCUUAACACAUGCAAGUCGAGGGGUAUAGUUCUUCGGAAUUAGAGACCGGCGCACGGGUGCGUAACGCGUAUGCAAUCUACCUUUCACAGAGGGAUAGCCCAGAGAAAUUUGGAUUAAUACCUCAUAGUAUAGCAGUUUCGCAUGAAACCACUAUUAAAAGUCACAACGGUGAAAGAUGAGCAUGCGUCCCAUUAGCUAGUUGGUGAGGUAAAGGCUCACCAAGGCGACGAUCCUUAGCUGGUCUGAGAGGAUGAUCAGCCACACUGGGACUGAGACACGGCCCAGACUCCUACGGGAGGCAGCAGUGGGGAAUAUUGGACAAUGGGCGAAAGCCUGAUCCAGCAAUGCCGCGUGCAGGAUGAAGGCCUUCGGUUGUAAACUAGCUUUGUCUAGGGAAGAAAGUACCUCUGGGUUAA